rnacentral:lncRNA from 1 species
AAACUCAAGUGAGUUAUGUUUGGUUAUAUGAAUUAUCAAUGGUGCGAUAUGUGAUUGAAUAAUGUGGAGCUCAUAAAACUGCACUUAGGGUGAUUGUGAUUUAGCCAGAGAUAUAACACAGACCUGUUUAUUAUGUCACCUCUUGGACCAUAUGCUCAUAUUGGAUCCAAUUUAGGUGCACAGUCCUGUCGUAUAGACCAUCUUAGGUGGUUCUGACUCAUAGGUGACUAGCGAUUUAUCGCCCAUCUAUUAUGUGAGAGUAGUAUUGAGCAUGAUUAUAUUACACCCAUUAUUGUCAUACAAACCUU